rnacentral:tRNA from 1 species
GGAGAGGUGGCAGAGCGGUUGAAUGCACCGGUCUUGAAAACCGGCAAGGGUUGAUGCCCUUCGAGGGUUCGAAUCCCUCCCUCUCCGCCA